CCUGACACUCACCGUGGCUCGCCGGGAGCGCCCGCGCCCGCGCCCGCACUCGGAUCCCGCGGCGGCGGCGGCGGAAACCAAUUUUAGGAACGUUGAGUGCCAGACCCUUCCUAAAAUCCCUGGUUUGCCAAAGUCUCAACGAGAGAACGGAUACUUAGUAUUUCUAGAAGGCAUUUCCACCCCGAGGACUGCAAGUGUUCUCACGUUCUUUGCGUUCAUCAUGACCUCCAAGUGUCCCACUGGAGCUGUCAUUCCCGUAGUUCCAAAGAGAAUACUCGAGCGCGGAGCGAUUCCAUUGCAUUUCCUUCCAGUAGCCAGGUUUUGACCACUUACUGAAGAGUAGACACCAGCCCCGCGGCAGCGCUCUCUGCUGCAAAAAGCUGUCUACGGAGCAAGACGGAAGGAAACAGUUACAGAAAAUAAAAAUUUGAUAACGACAUGCGACUCGGUUGCUGAGAGGACAGAGAAAGUGACUUAUUUUUGCAUCUCAGGCACUUUGUAGAGGGCCUUUAGCACAAAGAACUCCCGGCUCUUCCAGAUGUUAAACUCCCUGAAUAGAAGGACAGCGUCUUCUUUUUCGUUAUCCAUCAUGUCAGCUCUCCUUUAGCGCCUGCUGGGGUAGGGUGGAGUGGUGGGGGCGGGGCUGGCACCCAACAAGUGCACCAUAAAUAUCUGUUGGCUGGAUACAUGAACAAAUGGAAUUAAAUAAAUUGGCCUAAUUCUGUUACCCAGACUGGCCCCCGUGACUCUAGACUUCUAGCCUGAGACAGAGUCUUGCUAUGCUGCCCAGGCUGGACUCGAACUUCUAGACUCGAGCAAUUCUCAUGCCUCAGCCUCCCAAGUGGCUGAGACUAUAGGCAUGCCACCACACCCAGCUCUUUUGAUGUAAUUUUUAUCCCAUCAAAGUUUUGUCAUCUUGCUUUUAAAAAAUUAUCACAUGCAUUCUCUCUUGUUAUUGAGCCUCCUUCUACAACUGGCUGUCUAAUGGCUGCAGCAUUUUUAUUGUAUGGAGAAACUAUACCUCAUGCAAAACUCUCUCAUUGAAAGCGUUCACAUAGUUCCUAAUGUUUCUUUAUUAUACAGAUGGCCCUGGGCUCACAGUGGUUUGAGUUACGAUUUUUCUAGUUUAUGAUUGGCAUAUUGGGAUAUUAAAUGUAUUUUCAACUUUCAAUAUUUUUGACUUGCCAUGGGUUUUUCGGGACAUAACCCCAUCGUAAGUUGAGGCUCAUCUGUAAACAGUUUUGAAAAGAACAUCCUUUGGGAUUUUUAAACCUCAGGGCCCUCUGGAAGCUGUAGGCUAAUGGGACUGGCCCACAGCUUUCCUACUCUACUUCAUUACCACACUGGGUUUCAAAGAAUCAGCUGGUAUAGACAGGAAAUACAACUUACAUAUUUUUUUCUUAUAAGGUUUCAAUGUUAUCUCCUCCUGCUGCUGCUUCUCUCUCUGCCAUAAAACUUAUUUUAAAGACAUGGAAAAUUAUAUGCACUUGAGUUAAAUACAAAACCACAAGUGACUAUAGCUUGAUAAGUGGUCUUUGGGAAAUUUAUGAGCCAAAAUCUGUGUCAUAAAUUGAUAGCACUCCAGCUAACAAAAGAUUGACAAUAAAACUUACUGUAAAUAAAACCAUCUAAAUCUUGAGUAUGAAUAAAGUCCAUUAGUUUGGGUUGUAUUUUUAUUAUUGUUGUUUUUGACUCCUGUGCUGCAUGUACAUUUUCUUUUAUUCAUCUACUGCAAAAUCAUACAUUUGCACAUUUACCAGAGAAGGGCAAGAAAAUAUAAUCAAGUGAUAUUACUUCUUAGACCUUGGAAGAUUUGGAUAGGUGAGAAAGGUGAAAGUCAACAGCCAAAAAAGAAAGAGAGAGAAAGAAAGAAAGAAGAGAGAGAGAGAAAGAAAGAAAAAGAAAGAAAGAAAGAAAGAAAAGAAGGAAAAGAAAGAAGGAAGGAGAAAGAAAGAGAAAGAAAGAAAGAAAGGAAAGAAAAAGAAAGAUUGCACACUGAUCCCCUCUGCCUGUAAAUUUCCCUUACUUCCAUUGCCUUUGACCCAUGAAUCUGGCUCACACUUGCUUCGCUGCUUAAAGGUCACUUCCUCAGGGAAACCUUCCCUGACCUCCCAGCUAUAAAAAUCUACCACAACAGCACCUUGUACUUCCUUUUUCAAAGCACUGUCACACUUGUAAUUUCUUGUCUUCUCAUAAACUCUGUGAGGCAGGUGCCACACCUGCAUAUUUCACUUCUAUAUCUCCCAUAGCUAUCAAAGCAGUAGCACAUUCAUGAGAACAAAUAUUGUCUGAACAAAUUAAUAAAAAAUGAUAAAGACAUGCAAAAGUGAGCUGUACUUCUUGCAUGGACACACGCAAGACAUCACCUUCCAGAGAUACACAUAGGAUUUAAGCACUGGCUUCAAUUACCCCCUCA
rnacentral:lncRNA from 1 species